UACAGAGGUGGCAAGCGUUGUUCGGAAUUACUGGGCGUAAAGGGCGCGUAGGCGGUUCGUUAAGUCCUGUGUGAAAUCCCCCGGCUCAACUGGGGAACUGCACAGGAAACUAGCGGGCUUGAGUUCGGGAGAGGGAAGCGGAAUUCCGGGUGUAGCGGUGAAAUGCGUAGAUAUUGGGAGGAACACCAGUGGCGAAGGCGGCUCGCUGGACCGGAACUGACGCUGAGGCGCGAAAGCGUGGGGAGCAAACAGG
rnacentral:rRNA from 1 species